rnacentral:lncRNA from 1 species
GGCCUGGCUUUCUCCAUCUGCAAAGCAGGGAUGGUGUCUGCCUCAUUUAGAGGCUGGGGAGUGGGCAAGAUAAAAGGGUGGUUGAAGGGGCUUCAGCAUGAGCCUGGUGGUGUGUGAUGGAACAGACACCCAGCUGCCAAGGGGCAAAUACAUCCAUACCCCUGCCCCACCUUCUAGGCCCAGUAAAGUAGUAAAAUAGUAAAGCCACCAAUUGUCCCCACCUGUGUCUAGCUGCACAUCAAGGAAAUGUGUCUGGUCCAGGCAUUGUGACCUGUAAGGGACUCCACCCCGCCCUGCCACAGAGCAGUGGGUGGGGAACCCGGACCUACAUGGAGGCGCCUCCCCAGGAUGGACAUGGCACCCACAUUGGCACCCUCUGGUUUUGUCCCCACAGGAGUCCUGCCUCCCAGCACCCCUCUGUCAUGGUGAUCAAGACGGCUAGGGGGCAGGGAAGGCAAGAAGAGGGAGAAGACUCUGCUGUGACUCAUAGCAAAGUGAGAGCUUCUUCCCUCCUCUCUGCACCCCAAAUACGGCUGCAUUAGAACUAAGCAAGCUAUUGAUACCACACUGACCUAAAAAUAGCAAAUGGCGAAGUCACUGGCCUACGAGGCUGGAGAAUCUUAACACCAGGUGGCCCAGGGCAUACCCAGAGCUUCUGGCAACCGAAAUCUGGAAAAAGUGGUAACAGUUCCAUCUGGUCAAAUGACAAAAGCCUAAAUUUGUAUCAAGUAGUGGCUGAUAACAGUCAAUUUCUACCUAGAAGGCACUACGUUGGAUCUAGGUGUUCAGGGUUCUUUAAGUCAUGCUCUGAAUGAAUAAGCAAUGAUUCCAAAGUAUGUGAAGCUAGCCUCACAGUUUGAAGUCCUUGAAAUCACAUUUUCCAAACAGCUUCAAAUGAAGAACAAGCUCAUACAAACUCAAGAGUGCUUGAUCGAUGAGCAACUCCAGCAAGUGAAGACAUCACAGUCUGGGGCAGUGCACGGCUGACCCCUUUACCUGUUGAACUAGCUGCUUUGGCCCUUGUUUCAAGGGAAAAGGGCUCUAGAGGAAUUGGGGGUUUGGUCCUCUUAAGGUCUGAGGUCUUUGGGUCUCUGGGUUUGGUCAGGCCCUUAGGGACUGUGGGCUUAGGCUGAGCAAGGGUAGCCUUGGGACAUGUCUCAAACUCUGGUGAAGUCAAGAAAGGCCACAGAGUGGAAAAUCCAGAAUCUACAUCCCAUUCGUGCCAGAGCCCUGUUCCAUCCACUCUCUGAGCAGAUGUCCCCCUACGAAGGCCCAAGGGACUCCUGAAAAGCAGGCAUGAAUAGACCACAGAGUUAAACAGUGCAAGGGCAUGCUGUGGACCCACCCACUUUGGGUAAAUCUUUUGACUUCUCUGUGAAUCAGAAAAUCAAUGGGAUAGACUAUGCCUCACAGGGCCACCCUAGGGAUCGAAUAAGAUGACGGAUACCAAAGUGCUUCAUUAACAAUAAAGUGCCAAAAAGAGUU